UGAUACUUCUGCUGGGGACUGCUGGCACCUUUUCAUCAUCCUGGUUAGAUUGUUAAAAUAGCCUCCAUAAUUCUCCUCCCUUCUGCACACCUCCCAUACUCAGUCUGGCCUUAACCACUGACUUGCUUCACCCAAUGCGACAACAGCACAUGUGGCAAAAGCAGAACAUUGAAAAUUGCUUACGCACCUUGGGACUUGUCUUUUCUUGCUGCUGUUGGGAACCCUGCAAGCACCACCAUGUGAAUGUGCUUGGGCUGGCCUCUUUAGACACAUGGCCCAGUCAGAGCCCUCACCCCAGCUACCUACAGCAACUUCCAGCCAGCCACACACGUGAGGGAGGCUACCCUAGACCAACAAGCCCCCAGCCACCCCAUAGCUGACUGCAGCUGCAUGGGUACGCCCAGGAGUGGGCCUCUGGGUGAAAAGGCCAGGGCAGACAAACCCGUCCUGCCAGCCGAGGCCUGCCUUGGCCAGGCCGCACUGCUGCCAUUCCAGCUGAGCAAAUAUGUGGCCAGAUGAAGCCAGAGAAGGGAGUGGCAGAUGUGGGACAGAGGCGGAGGGCCCGUACCUGCUGCCCAGAGGCCAGCUUGACUCCAAGACCCCAGCAUCUGACAAGGCCUGACCUGUUUUAACAGCUCAGGUAAAGUCUGAAAAUGUUUAGCAAGAAAGGCCUACAGAGGGACACCCACUUCUCCUGCUUCAGGAACUGUCUAUUGGAAAUUGGAUCACAUCCCAUUCCACCAGGCAAGUUCGAGCUCCAUUGUUAAAUUGCAAUAGCCAAUGUGAGAUUGAUGGCUAGAGAGGAGUAUCUGUCUUCAGGAGGCUGUGGUUGUAUGAUCAAAACUAGCUCUGAGUAGGAGUGUUAAGAAAAAUCAACUGAGUAAAUCUGAAGAUCUAAUUGGUUUUAUUCAACAAGUCAUGAAUUAGGCAGCAUCCCGUCUAGUAAGUAGAAAGGAGCUCUCUUAAUAUUUAUUUUUAUUGGAGGACAAAAGCAAGAGUCAUCAUAGAAUAUUUGGAAAAUACCAAAAUGCCCAAGGAAUGAAAUAAAAAUCCCCCCUCAAGUGUCUCUUCUUCCUUGAUAACCAAGGCUAACCUUUGGGAGACUGUGUUUUACAACUUUAACACAAACACAAACAUACUUGAAUUUUUAUCAGAAAAGCAAUCAUACUUGGCAUGCCUUUUUGUAAUCUUCUUUUUUCACUUAACAGUGAAAAAAGGUAUUCUCCCACGACAUUAAAUAUUCUUUUGCAGUGUGACGUUUAAGGAAAGAUUUGAUUUUAGGCAUAUCAAUCUCCACUAACUCCACAAACGUUCUUGAAGGACCCUCAGGCAAAAAGCGUUAUAUUAACGCUAACAUAUGCCGAGCCCAUGGGUUGAACAUCUCUCAGCGAAAGCACCAAGCGUUUUCAGGUAUGAUUUGACUUUUGAAAGCACAGAUAUGUGAGUCACUUCGAUGAGCUGGCUACGGUACAUCGAGACGGUGGAGCCCCAAACCUUUGAAACUGGGGCUUACCAGACACAGUAGCAGCCUUACCGGCAGUUUAUUUCUGCAUUUGGUUCUGAUGGCACAGAAUUUAGAAAAUUCCUGAUUCAUAGUAAAGAGGUCUAUGGGUUCCGGAGCUCUUAGAAUGUAUUGGACCCUAAGCUAUGCGGUAGGGACUGCUAGAACCCCAUUUUAUAGAGGGGCACAUGGAGGCUCAGAGUGUGGUGGAGGUGUGGUGAGAACCCAGUACUGCCUCUCUGCCUUUCUCAGAGAAUCUAAGUCACGGGCUGGGUCACUGUGAACUUGCUCCUGAGGGCACACCUGAAUUUAAAAGUAGAUUGGAAUGAAAUCCCCCCUUUCCUUGACAUGUUUACAACGUGGUCAAAUAUGUGCUCAGGGAUGGGGGAGAAGUUUCAUUCCAGGGCCUGCAGAAAAGCCUGUUAGGCCAGUUAACCUGGAGGGACUCUUGUGUGUUAAAAUAUGGUAUGUGUAACAACUACACGGCAUUUAAAAAAAUUCUGGCUUGAAAAGCAAAGCUGUACAUUGUUUAGUAUCUUAGAAACCCCUUUACUAGUUUUUGUUUUUGAAAAGUAAUAGAUUAUCUUUAUGAACAUCUUUUUCAAACAUUAUAAAGAUAUAUAUGGUGUGAAAAUUCCUCCUCUGGGCCCUCUAUCCCAUACCAUAUAUAUAUGUAUAUAGAAUUUUUAUAAAAAUGAAAUCACUUAUGCUUAUUCUGCUCCUUGCCUUAUCUACUUACAACAGAGCAUGAUGAUCGAUGACACAGCUAUACUCUGGAAUACACUGCAACAGUCAAAAAAAAAAAAAUAUAUGAAUUCAUAUAUACUGACAUGGAAAGAUGCCCAAAAUAUACAGUUAAGUGAAGGAAACAAGUUGCAAAGCAAUAUUUGAAGCACUAUUCUAUUAAGUGUGUGUGUAUGUGUGUGCUCAUAUAAGUAUAUAUAGAUAUGUCGAUAUAAACUUUUGAAAAGCCAAAAAGGACAUUUAUCAUGUAUUAAUAGCAGUUAUCUACAGAUUUGGGGGGGGAGUUUCCUGGGGAGCGGAACA